rnacentral:rRNA from 1 species
AUUGAACGCUGGCGGCAGGCCUAACACAUGCAAGUCGAACGGUAACAGGAAGAAGCUUGCUUCUUUGCUGACGAGUGGCGGACGGGUGAGUAAUGUCUGGGAAACUGCCUGAUGGAGGGGGAUAACUACUGGAAACGGUAGCUAAUACCGCAUAACGUCGCAAGACCAAAGAGGGGGACCUUCGGGCCUCUUGCCAUCGGAUGUGCCCAGAUGGGAUUAGCUAGUAGGUGGGGUAACGGCUCACCUAGGCGACGAUCCCUAGCUGGUCUGAGAGGAUGAUCAGCCACACUGGAACUGAGACACGGUCCAGACUCCUACGGGAGGCAGCAGUGGGGAAUAUUGCACAAUGGGCGCAAGCCUGAUGCAGCCAUGCCGCGUGUAUGAAGAAGGCCUUCGGGUUGUAAAGUACUUUCAGCGGGGAGGAAGGGAGUAAAGUUAAUACCUUUGCUCAUUGACGUUACCCGCAGAAGAAGCACCGGCUAACUCCGUG